AAACCAUGUUGUGGGCAACGCCUCAACAAAUCCUUGUAGCGUUCCCAUUCCUCAUAAAGUGUCUCGCCGUCUUAUUGUGUGAAGGAAGCAAUAUCAUGUUGAAGCUU